rnacentral:rRNA from 1 species
UACGUAGGGGCCUAGCGUUGUCCGGAAUUAUUGGGCGUAAAGAGCUCGUAGGCGGUUCGGCAAGUCGGAUGUGAAAUCUCCACGCUUAACGUGGAGGGGCCAUUCGAAACUGCUGUGACUGGAGUCCGGUAGGGGAGUGUGGAAUUCCCGGUGUAGCGGUGAAAUGCGCAGAUAUCAGGAGGAACACCGAUGGCGAAGGCAGGUCUCUGGGCCACUACUGACGCUGAGAAGCGAAAGCAUGGGGAGCGAACAGG